AGAGUUUGAUCCUGGCUCAGGAUGAACGCUGGCGGCGUGCUUAACACAUGCAAGUCGAACGGAGCACUUAAGAUUGACUCUUCGGAUGAUUUCUUUUGCGACUUAGUGGCGGACGGGUGAGUAACGCGUGGGUAACCUGCCUCACACAGGGGGAUAACAGUUAGAAAUGACUGCUAAUACCGCAUAACCCGAUAGGAUCGCAUGAUCCAGACGGAAAAGAUUUAUCGGUGUGAGAUGGACCCGCGUCUGAUUAGCUAGUUGGUGAGGUAACGGCCACCAAGGCGACGAUCAGUAGCCGGCCUGAGAGGGUGAACGGCCACAUUGGGACUGAGACACGGCCCAAAUCCUACGGGAGCA
rnacentral:rRNA from 1 species